AGUGCCUUGUGCACAGUAGGUUCUGGAAAAUUGCUUGUUGAAUUGAAAUGAACUGAAUUGAAUUUCAGAGUGAAGAGGAACCUUGGAGAUCACCUAGACCAACCUGCUCAGAGAGGGCAAGCAAUUUAUCUGAGGGAGCACAGCAAGUUGAUGCAAGAUCAGGUUGCUGACGGCUCUGUGUUCUACACCUCUGAUGGUCAGCUCUCUAUCAGCUGUUACAUGCUGCCUUAUGGAAACAAAGUCGGUCUAAAGCGUUUUGGGAGCAGAGUCGAGAAUGCUAGCAACUGAAGGGACCCAGAAGGGCCUUGUGUGAGAGGUGGUCCCAGAAUGGAGCCUUGGAAGGAGCAGGAGGAGGUUCCUCAGGAGAGAAGUAAGAUGACCUGGUACUCCUAUCUCUUCAAGGACUUGCCACAUUUUGUUGUGAUCCACACAACUAAAGACUUUAGCCUAGUCAAUGAAGCAGAAGUGGAUGUUUUUCUAGAGCUCCCUUGCUUUCUCCAUAAGCCAGCAAAUGUUGACAAUUUGGUCUCCAGUUCCUCUACCUCUUCAAAACCCAGCCUAUACUUCUGGGCAGAUGGCAUGCCUUUGAGAGAAAGUGUGUGGUUCAGGAGAGAACUCCCUGGAGAGGACAUUGGGGAACUCUGCUAUUGACUUUCCGGAUGAUUGUGGGCACGUCCCAGGUGCACAGCUUUCUCAUCCGCCAAGAAGUGUGGGAGGUGGGGUGGGGCUAAGUGUGUUAGCUGAUGGCCAAGGUUUCCUUCCAGACAGACAUUCUAUAUUCUGGACCCUCAAGCUCCUUUCCACUCUGAUGCUCUGUGUGCUAUGCUUUCAUGUUCCUUCCUCCUCUAGUUUGAUCAUCAGAGCUUUGAUAUCUGAUGCACUCUGUGUUUUCAGUUUCUUCUCAGUUUUAUCAGUCUAUAUUUUAAAGUAACUCACUUCUCUGAUGUUCUAUGCUUAAUAUUCUAAGGUCCCUCCCAGUCCUAACAUUCUGUGUUCUAAGGUUAUUAACAUUUUAUUUCAUGUUCUAUUUUAAAAGGUCCUUUCAACCAAUAUUCGGUCAUCUCUCCCAAUUCUGAAAUUUUAUGUCCUAAGUCCCCUCCCACUCUUGACAUUUUCUAUUCUAAGAUCUCUUCCAGCUCUGACAUUACAUAUUCUAAGGCCCUUCCCAGCUCUGACAUUCCCUUUCCAAGGUCCCUCCCAUCUCUGACAUUCUUUGUUGUCAGGCCCCUCCCCGCCCUGAUAUUCCCUUUUCUAAGUCCCUUCUCAGCCCUGACAUUCCCUGUUCCAAGGUCCCUC